rnacentral:rRNA from 1 species
UACGUAGGGGGCAAGCGUUGUCCGGAAUUAUUGGGCGUAAAGAGCUCGUAGGCGGUUUGUCACGUCGGAUGUGAAAGCCCGGGGCUUAACCCCGGGUCUGCAUUCGAUACGGGCAGACUAGAGUGUGGUAGGGGAGAUCGGAAUUCCUGGUGUAGCGGUGAAAUGCGCAGAUAUCAGGAGGAACACCGAUGGCGAAGGCAGGUCUCUGGGCAUUAACUGACGCUGAGGAGCGAAAGCAUGGGGAGCGAACAGG